rnacentral:rRNA from 1 species
GGUUGAUCCUGCCAGUAGUCAUAUGCUUGUCUCAAAGAUUAAGCCAUGCAUGUCUAAGUAUAAGCUUUUAUACAGUGAAACUGCGAAUGGCUCAGUAAAUCAGUUAUGAUCCACUUGACAAAUUUACUACUGGAUAUCCGUGGUAAUUCUAGAGCUAAUACAGUGCAUUCAAUCCCUGAUUAUGAUGGGAGCACUAGUUAGGUUCAUAAGCCAAAAUCGCCAGGGUAACCUGGUAUUGCUUAGUCAUAACUAUUAAGCUGAUCGACCGCAAGGUCGACGGUUCAAUCGAAUUU